UGUCCUUAUUCCUAUGGAAACUGUAUAUGUCUUCUUCUUGGAUGCUCUUUAUGACUUUUUAAAACCCAUAAGAGUAAUUUGGAAGUAAGUUUCUCAAAUAAAGCAAUAUUUUUACCCUUUAAAAAAAAAAAAAACAAAAACAUAAAACCGGAAACAUGGUUUUACUGGCCUUGCCUCAAUUUCUGAUGCUGCCUCCUGUUCCUGGAAGCUGCCUGCAGGGAGGGUUCACAGGUAGAGACCAAAGUAGGGCUAAGCACGAGCCACCUUAAGGUAACCUUGGAUCUGAGA
ensembl:snoRNA